rnacentral:piRNA from 2 species
CCACACUCCUGCCUUUGAUCUGGGUCUUGUC